rnacentral:rRNA from 1 species
AGCAGCCGCGGUAAUUCCAGCUCCAAUAGCGUAUAUUAAAGUUGUUGCAGUUAAAAAGCUCGUAGUUGAAUUUCGGGAUCAAUUUAUUGGUCGUGCUAUUGUACGUACUGGUAUUAUUGAUUCCUACCUUCUGACGAACCAUGAUGUCAUUAAUUUGGUGUCUUGGGGAAUCAGGACUGUUACUUUGAAAAGAUUAGAGUGUUUAAAGCAGGCUCACGCUUGAAUACAUUAGCAUGGAAUAACGAAAUAGGACGUUUGAUUCUAUUUUGUUGGUUUCUAGGAUCGACGUAAUGAUUAAUAGGGAUAGUUGGGGGCAUUAGUAUUCAAUUGUCAGAGGUGAAAUUCUUGGAUUUAUUGAAGACUAACUACUGCGAAAGCAUUUGCCAAGGAUGUUUUCAUUAAUCAAGAACGAAAGUUAGGGGAUCGAAGACGAUCAGAUACCGUCGUAGU